rnacentral:lncRNA from 1 species
AUGUUCAGAUGUGUCUUUGAGAUGUUGGAGGAACACAAAGUAGAGAAUCACUUUAGUUACAUCAUGAUCAACAUGUCGCGUUAGGAUAUCUUUUAUCUUUGAAAGUAUAAUGUGUUACCUAACUACAAGGUGAUCUUCGUCUCUAUUAGCUUUAUGAUAAAAAACUAAUGUUAUAAUUAGAGUCAAAUGUUAUCAUUAAAUGCAUAUAGAUAGGACUGUACUUGUGUUGGACUCUAGGCUUAACCUAUGUAUAUAUAUGCUAGCAUUAGGAUCUCAUAUUAUAAUAAGUAUUAUUUUAGGAUGACCAUCUGAUUGGUGUGGCUACGUCGAGCGCCCGCUACAUGACUGCAACAUUCUAGUGGCCGAUGUUGUUGACUUUAGUCAAAUCACGAUUGGAGUAGUUUCCCAAUCGGAGCUUGGGACGAUAGGGCUCAAAACCCUCACGCGCGAGGUGAUGGGCAUGCUCAUCGACACACCCAAGCAUGUGACGCUUGGCAGGUGGGCAAGACGUCUGUUAGCCUCCACAAGUCUGGUAUGCCGUCGUUGAUGUCUAUGGGUUAUACAAGGUUGGUUGUCUGUUGUUCACGAUGGAGCGCACACACCGCCGAUAGAAGGAUGUUGUCAUCUAUUUUCCUGCGGUUGUUGUUAGAGCAUCUCAAAUAGAAGUCCUAAACAGAGUUGUAUUUUGAAAUAUAGUACUUUAACAAAAAAACUUCUUCAAUAGGGAUACUAUUUUACAAAAAAAUUAAAUAAUUACAAGACUCGGCCUCUCAGGUCCUAAAUAUAGGACUUCAUAUGCUGAAGCCUUACUCUCGCUUUUUACACUAUUCCUACUCUUUUAUCUCUUAAAUAACAUGAUUUAUUUCGGUAUACGACUCAACUAUUAGAGCUGUCCCUACUUACUUAACAUCAAGUUUCGUUUUAAUUUUUAGAACUCAAAUAUAGGACUUCUUGUUGGAGAUGCUCUAAGGAGAUCGAGGAUGAUCCCGUCUACGGUGGCAAGCAGUACUACAAUUAAGUAAUAAUGGAGGGCGGCCUGGUGUUGACAGCCAAACAGCGACAGGAAUACCCUGGCGGAUGGAACCCGUUCGUGUUAUGGCGCGGCGUGCCUCGUGGCGCCAUAGAGCUUCAUUACAAUCAUCUUCUUCGUGUUCUACGCUAUCUUCAUGACACUAUCUAUGGUUGUCUAUAUUUAGAGAGAGAAUAUGGAUGAAGGAGUAUCCUCUAUAUUUAGAGUGUACUCUAGAGGACAUCUUUGAAGUCUAUAGAGGAGAGAAUCUUUUCUAUAUUUAUAGCUAGUAGAUGAACAUAUAGAGUUAGUCGUUGAAGACAACCUGAGAUACUACUUUAGCUUUGCUUUAGUCAAAAACAAAUUACAUGUCAAUUUUACACAUCUUUAUCAUUUCUAGAAUUGACUGUUUUUAGAGGCAAUCGAUAAUGGUAGGAACGUCGAGUGUCUUUGGAACGGAA